GACGAACGCUGGCGGUGUGCUUAACACAUGCAAGUCGAACGGUAAGGCCCUUUCGGGGGUACACGAGUGGCGAACGGGUGAGUAACACGUGAGUAACCUGCCCUCAUCUCUGGGAUAACAGUCGGAAACGGUUGCUAAUACUGGAUAUGAGCCUGCAAGGCAUCUUGUGGGUUGGAAAGAUUUUUUGGUUGGGGAUGGACUCGCGGCCUAUCAGCUUGUUGGUGAGGUAGUGGCUCACCAAGGCUUCGACGGGUAGCCGGCCUGAGAGGGCGACCGGCCACAGUGGGACUGAGAUACGGCCCAAACUCCUACGGGAGGCAGCAGUGGGGAAUAUUGCACAAUGGACGGAAGUCUGAUGCAGCAACGCCGCGGGCGGGAUGACGGCCUUCGGGUUGUAAACCGCUUUCAAUUGUGACGAAGCUUUUUGUGACGGUAGCAGUAGAAGAAGCACCGGCUAACUACGUG
rnacentral:rRNA from 1 species